rnacentral:misc_RNA from 1 species
AAAGUCGUAACAAGGUUUCCGUAGGUGAACCUGCGGAAGGAUCAUUACCGAGUCGGGGUCCCCCGGGCCCGAUCUCCAACCCUUGUCUACUCUACCGCGUCGUCCCUGGCGGGCCCGCUCGCGCAGCCGAGCCGCCCGGGAAUCCCCCCUUCCCGGGCCCGCGCCCGCCGACGGCGAUCGCCUGCAGUCUUGGAAACGAUAAACCGAACAAAACUUUCAACAACGGAUCUCUUGGUUCUG